UACGAAGGGGGCUAGCGUUGUUCGGAAUCACUGGGCGUAAAGCGCACGCAGGCGGAUCGAUAAGUCGGGGGUGAAAGCCCGGGGCUCAACCUCGGAAUUGCCUUCGAUACUGUCGGUCUCGAGUCCGGGAGAGGUGAGUGGAAUUCCCAGUGUAGAGGUGAAAUUCGUAGAUAUUAGGAAGAACACCAGUGGCGAAGGCGGCCCACUGGCCCGGUACUGACGCUCAUGUGAGAAAGCGUGGGGAGCAAACAGG
rnacentral:rRNA from 1 species